rnacentral:tRNA from 1 species
UCCGGGGUCGUCUAACUGGCAGGACAGCAGACUCUGGAUCUGCGAACCGAGGUUCGAAUCCUCGCCCCGGAGCCA